UUUUUAUUUUACUGUCACAGCUCUAACCCUCCUUUCUAUUGGCUAGGGGCCGGCAAAGGGAUCUGUUUUAACCAUAGAAAUGUUUUUAUUAACAUCCCAUCAUGGAUCAGUCGCAGCAGCAGUAUUCAUUUCAUGUCUGGAUGGGAUGGAUAUCUACCUGCAGCAGGGAGAGCCGCAGCGUGAAGAAGCCUCCUGUCGGUGCUCUGGGACCGGGGAGGAGGAGCUCAGCAGCACAAUGGAGAAAUGCGUUCACGGCAGAGUCUCUCAAAGUCUCAAUAACACCAGAAAAAGAAUUGCUAGAUUUUCACUAGUCACUUUUCUGAAUAACAGUCUCUAGAGGGUCUGAAAACUCUGUAAAUAUAGCGAGGAAGUCGCUAAAUCAUCACCGCUGUGUUCCACAACCCGCCACCUCUCAUGUAAGCGAGCAGCGUGUCUGGUCGAUUACGUCAUACUCUGAAGCGGUCAAAUUAUCGUACAUUAUGGGAUUUUUGGGAUUAUUGAUCGUACAUCGUACAGAGGGCCAAAUUAUCGUACAAAUACGAUAAUUAUCGUACACCUGGCAACACUGGGCCUCGCUGUACAAAAGGCCACUGCAUUUAUUGAAGUUUCAACCUGCCACAUGCUAGGAGAUUCUUCUUGCAACCAACCAGAAGAAAUAACCAGCUCCUGACCUCCAGCAGCUGGAUCAUGCAUACAGCAGAACUUCAGCUACUGGUUCAGCAGAGCGUGUUGAGACGGUCCCGCUCCCGAUCCUUGAGGACAUCAUACGUGCCUGUGCUUACCUGACUCUCUUUCAAGCACCCAUAUGCAAGGCCUAUCUGAUGGUGUCCAUGGAGACCGGAUGCGGGCCUAGGUCAUCAGCUGCAUCAUCUGGUUGAGGGUCAGGAUCUGGCACAGCAACCAGAGGCACGGCAUACCUGAAAUCCAACAAUGCAUAAAAUGUGAAAACAAAGGCAAAAUAAAAGAAGUUCAAAAAAA